GGGCUCCCAUGAUGCCAGCACUGGGCGCUGAGCCCCCUGAUGACAACCACAGUGCCCCCCAGGCUUUGACUCCUGGGGGUCUGAGGGGCCC